UACGAAGGGGGCGAGCGUUGUUCGGAUUUACUGGGCGUAAAGGGCGCGUAGGCGGCGGGUCAAGUCGAGUGUGAAAGCCCCGGGCUCAACCUGGGAAUUGCGCUCGAGACUGGUCUGCUUGAGUUCGGGAGAGGAGAGUGGGAAUUCCCAGUGUAGAGGUGAAAUUCGUAGAUAUUGGGAAGAACACCGGUGGCGAAGGCGGCUCUCUGGACCGAGACUGACGCUGAGGCGCGAAAAGCGUGGGGGAGCAAACAGGAUUAGAA
rnacentral:rRNA from 1 species